UCUAAAUUCAUGUCUAAAUUAUAAACAGAUAUGGCAACACUGUUCACAAAAUUCAUGCUGCUGCAUGGCCGUUGCCCUAAACUUUAUGUUGUCCCUUAUUUUAUACAAUGCUUUUUCGUCUUAAUGUCAUUGUAUUUACUGAGAAAAUAAUUAUAAGUUUAUUUUAGACUUGAUGAAACAAAUAAAUUUUGCGAAAGGUUGAUAUUAACACAUUCACCGACACAACUGCAUAUAAUAUAGUCACUUACUCCGUAAGAUGUGGCUACAUGUGAAGCGUGUCCGUGAAUGUGUUAACAGAGUUUUUUUAUCCUGCCCUUUAACUUAAUAUCUGCAACCUCAAAAUACAGAUAUAAGACUACGCCCGGUUUCAUAAUCAGUUAAAGUGGACUUUAAGUUUUAAGUUGGUACCCUUGUCAAUGCAAUUCAUAUGGGUAAAUGUCAACGUUAAAGUGAACUUUAGUUAAUGUUCACUUUAAGUUGAUUAUGAAUAAGAAUUCAGCUACUUUAUCCAUUUAGUGAAGAUGUUUUGUUUACAAAUCUAUAAACAUUUCAUCUACAUUGCUGUAUGCUAUACCUACUAGGAUGUUUACAGAUUUGUAAACGAAAAUAUCUUCAGUAAAUGAUGAAGUAGCCAUAUUCUUUGCCUUUAUUCUCCACCGUCUAUAUCAAAUAAGGAUCACUUGAAAGUGGUGGGUUCUUCAAUCAAUAGGUAGAGAAUAAAAGAUAAAUUCGGCUACUUCAAUCCUAUCAGUAAACAUCAUCACUUCAUCUACAAAUGAGUUUGAUAAGAAACAAACAUCCAUAGAGAUAUAAAAAUGCAAUAGUUGUUACCUUAAAAAGAUAUCAACAAGAUAAGUAAUGUAGCUAGUCAAAUGAACCAUUGAAAAUGUAGGAUAUAAAUGUUUAUUAAUAUUAAAGAAGAACAGGAACCAAGAGUUACACUUCCAAAUAUUUAAUAGCUUAGCCAUAAUGUCAACUGUACUCAGUUUUUGAAAAACCUAAUGAUUUAUGUUUUUAUUUACAUUUUCAAUGGUUCAUUUGACUAGCUACAUUACUUAAAUCUUGUUAGUUGAUAUCUUUUUAAGGCAACAACUGUUGCAUUUUUAUAUCUCUAUGGAUGUUUGUUUCUUAUCAAACUCAUUUGUACAAGAACUGAUGGAAGAGAAGGUUAAUGAUGUGAGUUAAUAGUAAAAUCAAGAUAGGAAGUAUAUAUCAGCAUAUCUUGCAAUGACGAUGGAAAAAAAAGAAAGUAUGUUUAGGAUGGAAUGCAACCAUAGACACAUGUUUCUGACUCAUAAGGCGUCAUCAGUACUGUAUAGCAAAGUUAGAAUAGGUGUAUGUUAGCUUGGGAAAGGAUCACUACAGGAGCACUACAACCAAUUUGUGACAAUAAUGUUAGAAGACCUUGACGAUUCCAGAAUAACAACUAAUACAUCCAAGGAGGAAGCUACAGCUACCUGAGGAAAGGAAUGCCAAAUGUUUAGAAUGUUUGAAACUCGAUGUUUUUUCUCAGAGUUUUUCAAACAAGGAAAGGUUAAUGCAGAUCUAUUCGAACUUGGCUAUACUGUACUGAUGAUAGCUAAUAAGUCUAAGACACGUGUCUGCCGUUGCAUAUCUUAAACAUACUGUAUUUUUUCCAUCCUAGUUGAGAGACAUGCUAAUAUAUAUAUAUACUUCCUACCUUGAUUUUAUUGUUAACUCGCAUUAACCACGAGGAAGUGGUUCAAGCACUUCAAAAAAAUAAAGAAAGAAAAGGGAACCAGAGGAUAUUCCUGGGGAAGUGUGGAAGGCGUCAGGAGAGAUAGGAAGAAGUUGGCUAACACGUUUAUUUAAUAGAAUUAUGGAAGUUACGACAAGUGCUAAACGAUGGAGAAGCAGUAUAUUUGUACCUGUUUAGAAAAAAAAAAUACAAUAAUGAACAAACUACAGGGUAAUAAAACUACUUAGUCACAUCAUCAAAAUAUGGGAGAGCCACAGCUGUUCCAAGAUGCUGUCAAAAUUAAAACAAUAUGGCUACUGGAAGGCAAACAUUGAAUAUUAUUCUAUCAGGUUCUUAUGGUUUUAGAUCAUUUUAGUUGUUGUACAAAGAUUAAUUUAACAUUUUCUCUGGAAGUAUUAAUUUGGAAAGAUAAUAUGCCUCAUUGGUGUUGUGUUUUGAAGUGUGAAAUGCAAAGUAAUCGUGAUAAAGUUAGCUUUUACCACUUACCAUCAGUGCUACAUUCUAAGCACAAAACUGAACCAAUUUAACUAAAUAAGUUAUAGUUAUCAUCUGAGAGACAACAACAAUGGUAAAAUGCAAUAAAAUAUAAAGAUUUUACUAGCAAAAUGGAAAUUCCCCUGUAAUCAUCUUAUAUCUGGUAAGUUACAACAUUUGAACAUUAACGAUUUUUGAAGAUGUUAACAGUCUAAUCUUGUAGGAAAACCAGCCGACUUAACUGAUAAUAACAAUCCAGAUUGGGUUCCUUCAAUAAAUAUGGGGUAUAUAAACACAAUGAAAUGAGUUCCCCAAAAUCUAAAAUGGGAAUUAAGGUACCAAAGGAGAAUUAAAAGAAAAGGGUACCUACAAGAAAAAAUUGCUUUUUUAUUCCUCUUGAAAUGAUUUAUAAGACACUGGACUAUAUUCACUGGUCUUAUAUUCUACAAAUACUAGAAUCAGCUGAGAGAAGUGGUCUACAAAAACCCAGGAAGGAAACGGAAUAUGUGGCUACGAAAGGCAAAAGAAAGGUUUACAAAGCAAAUGUGACACAUUUUUUUGAAAUAUUUAGGAAUAUCAGUAAAUUGCAUUAAAAAAAUGUAUGAAAAGAUUUUGUUCAAUAAAAAUGUUUAUAUUUAUCAAGGAUGUAUUAAUUGGUAUGGCCACAUAUUGUCAGUGAUGUAAUAAUACAUCCUAUCUGUUUUCUCAUGAGUUUCGUGAGACUAAAAACUUGUCUUAGGGUCACCUC